rnacentral:rRNA from 1 species
GACGAACCGUGCGAACGUUGUUCGGAAUCACUGGGCUUAAAGGGCGCGUAGGCGGGCGUCAAGGUCGGGGGUGAAAUCGUGCGGCCCAACCGCACCAGUGCCCCCGAAACCGGACGCCUGGAGGGGGGUAGGGGUGCGUGGAACUUCCGGUGGAGCGGUGAAAUGCGUAGAUAUCGGAAGGAACGCCGGUGGCGAAAGCGACGCACUGGACCCCAUCUGACGCUGAGGCGCGAAAGCCAGGGGAGCAAACGGG